AAAAAAAAAAAAAAAGUUAAAUGCAUUCCUAUCUCUACAAAUAUAGUAAAUUAUAAAUAUGUUCUUACAAAGUUCGACUUUAUAUGUUAUUUAUGUAAAAGUUUUAAUAUUUUCAAAUAUGUUCCUUUGUCUUGUUACCAUUACAGAACUGUUUAUAUUUUAAGUAAAAUGUCAAUUUUACCAUCACAAAUAUAUCAUUCUAAAAACCACAACAGUGUAAUAUAAGAGGGGCAAAAAUAUCCAGUUAUCUCAUAAAUUAACCAGAAUUAAGCAUUUAACCUAUGAUUAAUUAAAGUUUUCUAAUGGAUUCUUACGGAAUGAACAUAUUUGAAAACAUUAGUAUUUUUACAAAAACAAUAUAUAAAAUUGAACUUUGUAUGGAUAUAUUUGUAAUUCACUAUAUUUGCAAGGACCUGUAUGAAAUUAACUCAAAGAAAAAUGUACCUUGAGUGUUUGAAUUGCUAAAACAACAAGUUAGCUAAAGUAAACAUACAAUGUCUUAUUUGUAGGAGAAAUUGUUGCGUAGACCUCAUGGAUUACGUCAAU
rnacentral:lncRNA from 1 species